rnacentral:rRNA from 1 species
CUACAGAGGGUGCAAGCGUUAUUCGGAAUUACUGGGCGUAAAGCGCGCGUAGGCGGAUGAUUAAGUCAGUUGUGAAAGCCCUGGGCUCAACCUAGGAACUGCAUCUGUUACUGGUCAUCUAGAGUUUAAGAGAGGGAAGUGGAAUUCCAGGUGUAGCAGUGAAAUGCGUAGAUAUCUGGAGGAACAUCAGUGGCGAAGGCGACUUCCUGGCUUAAAACUGACGCUGAGGCGCGAAAGCGUGGGGAGCAAACGGGAUUAGAAACCCUAGUAGUCC